rnacentral:lncRNA from 1 species
GCUGAAGUAGCCCGCCGGGAUGUUGAUGCUCUGUCUUGACCUGUUGACAUAUCAAACACUUAGAAAUAAAGUCGGUCAUAUCUCUUUUCAUCCUGUUCUACAAAAAUCGGGGUCGCAUACUUUGAUACAUCUUAGUGCUUCCGGGAUGCAUGACAAAAUUUGGGCUAUGAGCCUCUAUCAUGAUGUCCAUUUUCAACUCACUGUCACUUAGAAUACACAUCCUGUCCUGAAAUCUGAGCAACCCAUUGGGAGAGACUCAAAAUUCUGAAUUAACUCCCUAUUCUGCAUCUUUCUUCAGGGCUGCUAGGGUGGAAUCGGUGGACUGAACAUCCUUUAUUC